AUGAGUUGGAAGGAAACUCCGGGCAACAAUGAACUCUCGCACUUAUGUGAUCUGUUGGGAAAAUCGUUCGGUACUGUCUUGCAGCAGCUGGAAAUACUGAACGCGAAACUUGACCAUCUCUUCAAAGGAAUUUCCCUGAUUGUUAAAUAUCCUUCUCCUACAGACACUAUAACAACUAUACCAACCAGGCUUAUUAACUUGAAUGAGGAAUUAAGCACUCCGGAAGGCCAGGGAGGAAUUAAGCUCAAGGAGCAGAAGGUAGUCGUCGGAUCAGGCCUUGGAGUGACUGGAGAGGAGGGUGGGUUUUUAUCUGGGGGAGUGGGUCUGGGGAGGGUGGAUGGGAAGGAAAUCAACAAUGUCCUGCAGAAGUCGAACAAUGAGCUGCCCUCUGAAUUGGUCGGACAAUCUUUGGAUACUUCCUGCAAUUCUCAGCAUCUUUUACAAACAAAUAAGGUUGCAGUGGAAGUUUCAGACUCAUUAUUGAACAGAGGCAGGUGGACUUCUAAGCGAGCAGUCCAGAUAUCCCUUGCACAAAUUUUAUCCAUAAGCUGGUCGGAGGUAAAGAUCAAGACUAUCGACUGGCUUUGUAGAGAGUAUCAAUCCUGGAACCGCUCCUUAUCUCUUAUCAUUGGCUUGGAAGAUAAAAUAUUAAGGGAAAAAUUGUUUUUGUGUGGGCCCAAACUGCAACAAUGGGGCAUCACUCUCAGGAGGGUUCUAGUAGACCCACUGAUUCGCCCCCUCGACAUCGGGCUGAGCAUUGAUAUUCAAGAUUCCCCAACUCUAAGUCAGACUUGUUCUACCUCCCAGGCCCACAACAAGACCCCACUCUUGCUUAGUCACCUUCCUAUUCAUGAUGAUGCCAAAUCAACUGUCCCCUCUCUCCCAUCAGUGGAGAGAAGCUCCUUUUUUAAAAAAAACAAGUACCUUUGGAGGCUUUCCUUUCCAGGACAGCUGACUAGUCCCGGUAAUUGGCAACUCCACCCAGUUCUUCCAUCAGGGGGAAGAGGGCUCUCAUGGAGGUGGCCCCAUUGA
rnacentral:lncRNA from 1 species